GAUAUAGGCCGUCUUAUCGUCCCGUCCCGAUAGCUAUCGGGAUCGGGAAGGAAAGUCCGGGCACCAUAGGGAAGCAUAGCGGCUAGCGGCCGUCACCCUGUAGCAUGUGCUACAGGGGAGGACAAGUGCAACAGAAAGAAUGUACAGGUAAUGCUGUAGUGAAAUCAGGUAAACUCUAUGCGGUGAAAUGCCACGUAUAUCUGCGCUUAAGGGUUCCCGCCCAAUGCAGAAGGGUAGGCAGAUUGACCCCGAUAGUAAUGUCGGGGCUAGAUAAAUGAUAAGAACCCGUUUAAACGGGCACAGAACCCGGCUUAUAGGCCUAUAUCUUUU
rnacentral:RNase_P_RNA from 1 species